UGUGACGAUUCCGUUCCCGGCUCAGUAAUAUUCUCCCAGUCGGGCUGUGCAUAGCUUUUGCAGUGUCUGUGUGUGUUUGUUACUGUAGUUACUGCCUAUAGUUUGGUUAGCUAUGGAAGGAGACGGGAGUCAAGUUACAUCUGGAAGCCCAAAUGAUUCACAACAUGACCCGGGUAAAAUGUUUAUUGGUGGCCUCAGCUGGCAAACCUCACCAGACAGCCUUAGAGACUAUUUUAGCAAAUUCGGAGAAAUAAGAGAAUGUAUGGUGAUGAGAGACCCCACAACAAAACGUUCCAGAGGAUUUGGAUUCGUUACGUUUGCAGAUGCUGCCAGUGUAGAUAAAGUCUUAGCUCAACCACACCACGAAUUAGACUCAAAGACGAUUGAUCCUAAGGUUGCCUUCCCCCGACGCGCUCAACCCAAGAUGGUCACAAGAACAAAGAAAAUAUUCGUGGGCGGAUUGUCAGCCAACACAGUGGUGGAAGAUGUGAAGCAGUAUUUUGAACAGUUUGGGAAGGUAGAAGACGCCAUGCUUAUGUUUGAUAAAACUACUAACAGACAUAGAGGAUUUGGCUUCAUAACUUUCGAGGGCGAAGACGUUGUAGAGAAAGUCUGUGAAAUUCAUUUUCAUGAAAUCAAUAAUAAAAUGGUAGAAUGUAAGAAGGCCCAGCCCAAGGAGGUGAUGUUCCCACCAGGCACGCGAGGGAGGGCCAGGGGCCUGCCCUACACCAUGGACGCCUUCAUGCUGGGGAUGGGCAUGCUGAGUUACCCGAACAUUGUGGCAACAUACGGUCGUGGAUACACUGGAUUCACCCCCAGUUACAGCUAUCAGUUCCCUGGUUUCCCGGCGACGGCGUACGGACCGGUGGCGGCAGCGGCGGUGGCAGCAGCGCGUGGCUCAGGUAGGGGGGCCCGAGGAAAAGGUGGCUACAUGGCGUAUCCGCAGAACACAGGGCCAGGCUUUCACGAUUACGGGUUUUACUCUGCGCCCAGUGACCAGAGGGGAGCGCCCUGCUCCUUUGCGGACUAUGGCUCCCUGGGGCCCCAGGCGGCUCAGAUGCUGCACAGUGAGCAUGCCACCUCCGCCUGCAACUCCCCCCUCCAGCACCUGCACAGCCCGGAUCAGUUUAAGAGCCCAGGGGGAAACCCAGCUCGUCCUGGAGGCUUCCCAGGUGCCAACAGCCCAGGGCCUGUAGCCGAACUGUACGGCCCUGGAGGCCAGGACUCCAAUGUGGCUAACUACAUCAGUGCCGCUAGCCCCCAGGCUGGCUCCGGCUUCGGCCACAGUAUCGCAGGCCCGUUGAUUGCGACAGCUUUUACAAAUGGAUACCAUUGAACAGGUGUUCGGUUGCCAUCUCAUUGGAGUAACCCUCUAUUUCACCUCACCAUGCUACAAACUUGUACAGCAGAGUCUAUCUGGUGGUCCAGGGAAGACAGACCGAACCUUCUAAUUGGCUCUGUGUACAGGUGAUGUCAUCCAACUUCAAGCACUACAGCAUCACCCAGGAGAAAUGGUGGAACCACAUCAAAAACAUCAUCUCAGAAAGGAAAGAAAACUGCUGUACCAUAAUCCAAACCUGUAACCUGACAACCUGGUUUGUUAUGACAUUUCUUGAUGAUUUCAUUCACUUUUUUCCCUUCCUUUUAUUAGUUGUUUGAUUAGCUUUACAGAGAGGCAUUUUGGUUUGAUCCUAAUUACUUGUGUCAUUUUUUGAUUUUCUCUUGUAGUGUAUGUAUGUAAAUGGAUAUGCUUCUCUCUUUCGGGGGUCAUAGUCGAGAAUGUACGAAGCAAUGUGUUCACAUUUGGUACCAAUUCGUUUAAUCAAAAAAGAUCAGCGCUUUAGGUGUCUUUUUGCACAUAAAAGAAAUCCAAAGUGGAAAGUCUUGGAAAAAAACAUCAAUUUCAUUUCAAAUGAAAAUUCGAGAGGGUAACUAACUAAUAAAUCUUAGUAGCUGUUUUUAAUUAUUGUGAUGUCUCAUUGUUAACCAUAAUUACCUAUUUUUGGGCAAUACAAAGAGGACUCCAAUAUUUUUAUGGUCCUUUUUUACAAGUGUUGUUUUUGUUGUUUAGAAAAAAAUAUGUAUACUAUAAAACAUUUCAUAUAAAUACAUUGUGAAUUCAAAGACUUAAGAAAAAUAAAUGUAACUGUAAAUACUAUUCCAGUCAUUGCAUAUAACCAACUCGAUGAGAGAAUAGCAUAUUUUUGUGAUGGUGUGUCAAAGAAAUGUUCUAGCGUGUGAAUAGGAAAAAAAGCUCUAAAGAAAUACUAUUAUCCUUUGCUGCUCAGAGACAGUGACUAACCCCAGUGAUGGACACAACACAUUUCAACACUGAUGGCUUGCUCUGGAAAUACUCAAGCUGAAUAACUUUACAAGUGUCAAACCAGUGCAUUUACAAGUGGUGAGUUCAGCGCACAGUUUUAAAAUGGAUAAAAGAUCAUCGGUAUCCUUUGUCUAACCAAGUGUUAUUUAAGAGAUCAAUGUUAUUUGAGUGAUCAUUUAAUCCAAAGCACACUGUACUUAGUGUUGAAGAGUAGAACUGGAGCCUAAGCAUUUUACAGUACUCUGCGCAUCCAGACACUUUUAUACUCCUGAGAGAAAAGCUCAGCUUGUUGUUUGUUGUGUUGUUGUUGUUGUUGGUUCCCUCCUGCUUGCUCCUCUUACGUUUGGGACUCCAUCAGUUCUCUUUUCAAUGAAUUGGGAAGGAAAACAAUUUGAUACCAUACCUCAGCCCUGUGAGUUAUACCUUGGAAUCGUUGAGAGGUUGAAUUUAUUUUAGUGGCAAAUAGAUUCAAACAUUGAAUGGAGAGAAAAGAAAAUGUCUAAAUCAUUGCACUGUGAGCAGUAAAGAAAGAACAGGCCAUUUCCCAUUUGCACAUGUAUAUGUUGGCUAUUUAAAAUGGUCCUGUCUCUGGGGUGAAGUAUGAAGGAGUAUUGGAUGUUGCUCCUCUCUAGAAUAGGCAUACACAAACAGCUUGGCAAAUAGCAAUUAACUGAUGAAUUACUACCAAUGUGUUGUGGUCAUGUCUUUGGAUUUCACUGUAUUGUGUACGCCAACUUCUAAUCUAAAAUAUUGAUGCUAUUUUACAUCCAGCCAAUAGAAGACACUGAAUAAAUUAUUCAUCCUGGUAACCAUAGCUGCUGCGCUAAUUUCUUACACCGUAUGUGUAGGGACAGGUUUUGCUCAAUUAUAGAGACAUUUAACGACAUGCUUUAAAGUGCAGUACGAUUUGUAAACAUGACGAUGGAAUGAGUGGUGUAUAUUCUGAUGUACUUUUCCUGCUGCAAAUAUGUUUGACAAUUCAUUUCACCUGACGUUUCAUUUCAUUAUCUCUUUGGUUCAGAACAACCAGGUGAAGGAAAAUGCUGGAUGCUUUUGAGUGAUGUGGAGAUAUGAUCAAGUAAUAAUUGAAAUGAGAAAACGGAAGAGAACCAUUGUAAUGUUCAAAUGUAAAAGGAAAAAAAGAAAUACAAAACUUUUUUUUUAAAGAAAAAGAUGCUUCUUCACUGAUUUCAAUUUUGAAUCAGGGGAUUUUAUUGAUAUUUUUGUGGUUACUAAUUGUAAUAUGAUAUUAUUAAAAUGUACUGUGCAUCCA